rnacentral:rRNA from 1 species
GACGGAGGAUGCAAGCGUUAUCCGGAAUGAUUGGGCGUAAAGCGUCCGCAGGUGGCAGUUCAAGUCUGCUGUCAAAGACCGGGGCUCAACCUCGGAAAGGCAGUGGAAACUGAACAGCUAGAGUAUGGUAGGGGCAAAGGGAAUUCCUGGUGUAGCGGUGAAAUGCGUAGAUAUGCGGAGGAACACCGAUGGCGAAGGCAAUCCCCUGGACCUGUACUGACGCUCAUGCACGAAAGCGUGGGGAGCAAACAGG